rnacentral:lncRNA from 1 species
GAAGCCAAAGAACAAAGGGGGAAAGAAUAGAAAAACUCUAAGGAGGAAAAAUUCAAAAGAAAUUCAUUGGAUUUCCUAAAAACGAAGCGAUCGGAGGUAAUAUUUCGCGAUUUAGCUUAAGAUUUAUCUUACCCAUGCUUUCUUUUUCAUUUUCUAUGGUUGAAACUCAAGUUUUCAUGAUGGAAGCAUGCUGGCCGAAUUAGGAGGGGAAGGUUUUGAUGAUGGUUGUUGAUAGAUUUCAGGCUAUCUAGGUGUUUUUAGUGUUUUGUGAUAUUUGGUAUGAAAAACAAGUAAGAAAAUAACAUGUUCUUCAUCAAACCCUAUUUGGCCGAAUUCUAUAGGGAAUAUUUUGAAGAUGAAUUUUGUCAUAUUUCAUGUUAUCUAGCUCGUAUUUGAUGAUUCGUGAUGUCGGAUAUCAAAAACGGUUAUCGAAAAGUAUAAUUCCUUUAGAAAACGACUUGAACGAUAAUGAGAAAAUUAUAGUAAAUGGACUUAGAAUUGAUUUCUAAUGAUAUAUACGGACUUAUUGGACUGUGUUGACACUGAUUAGCACGUUAGUUCGAAAUCGGAAUAAGUUUCGGAUGUGAUAAUUUAAGUCACAAUCAAGUUUAUUGAAGUACUUUGGGUGUAUUUGAAGUAUCGAAAGUGCAAUGAAUCUAUUUGGAGUUGAAUCAAAUGUUUUGGCUAAUUAAAUAGUGUAUAGUGCGAGUUAGGUCGAAUACCAUUUCAGACCAAUAACAAUUGAACCUACGUAG